rnacentral:lncRNA from 1 species
CGACUACAAUCAUCGUCGUCUUCUCCAAUCGAGAGGCCCCAACUCGCUCGAUGGCUUGCAAGAUUUUAAGUUCCGAACCAUUCCCGACGGCCUUCCUUACUCGGACGCCAACUGUACUCAAGAUAUUCCAGCACUCUGUGAAUCCACCUCCAAGAAUUGCUUAGCCCCUUUUUGUGAUCUUAUUUCACAACUUAACUCAAUGGCAGCUUCUCCUUCCAGUAAUAUGCCACCAGUUAGCUGCAUUGUUAGUGAUGCUGUUAUGUCUUUCUCUAUGUUGGCUGCCAAUGAGUUUAAAAUCCCUCAUGCUUUUCUUUGGACUGCUAGUGCUUGUGGCUAUCUUGGUUACUUCCAAUAUGAGCAUCUCAUUAAACAAGGCUUGAUUCCUCUUAAAGGUAUGGUUUCAUUUUAAUCUGUUUUCUUUUCUUUUUUAUGUCAAUCUUUGUUCAAAAUGGAUUUUUGUGUGGUAGAAUUUUAUUUUAAAAAUUAUGUUUUAACUUUUUUAUGGACAUUUUAGCAUAAUCAACUAAAAUAUUUAUAAAAUAUAUCAAAAUUUUACAGAUAUUGAUAGACAUAAAUAGACUUAUAUUAGUAUUAAUUGAUACUAAAUUUUUUCAAUUUUAUUUCUAAUAAAUCUAUAAAUUUAAAAAGUUUCUAAUAAUUAUAUACUUAAUUUUUUUUUCAUCUAACUCUUUCAACUUUUAAUGUUAUCUUUUUAUCAAGUCUUUCAUCCAUUUCAACAUUUUAAAAGUUACAAGUUUAAUUAUGUUCAUUAGACCCAAAACAAAUUUUCAUUCCAAAUUUUUUUAAAAAAAUUUAUAGAACAUGUCAAAAACCUAAGAAUGACAUAUAUAUUUUGAGAGGAUAUGAAUUUGAAAAUUUAGAAACAAAUGAGAUGCUUAUCGUUUCAAGAGAAAUUUUCAUGGUUAGAUAAGAUGCCAAACAAUUGAGAGUGAUAGACUUUUACCACCUCUAAAGUCUUAGUUCUGUCAGUUAGUGUUAGUGAUAGGCUUCUCAUUAUCCAUUUCUAUUAUUGAUAGACACCGAUAAACUUGUAUUAGUUUUUAAUAUUGAUACAUGACAUUGAUACAUAGAUUUCUAGAUGUGUUUAACCUAUAUUUUCUAAAUUUCUUAUCAACAUAUAUUCGAAAGAUAAGAAAUUUAAAGUUUUUCGCAAUAACCAGUACAUCGUUUAACCUAUCUUCCGAUUAAAAAAAGAACUUGGACAUCGAUUAGAAUACACAACCAGGUGGACCAAACUCAUAAUUUAAACCAAAUUCUUUAUUUUGGUAUUUGUGUAUUUAGUUUUGAUCUCUUUACUGGUUAACAGAUAUAAGUCAGAUAACAGAUGAAUAUUUAGAAACUACAAUCGAAUGAACUCAAGAAAUGAAAAAUAUAAGUUUGAGAGAUCUUCCUACUUUUCUUAGAACAACAGUUCGACAUGAUAUCAUGCUCACUUUUAUCAUUCAAGCAAUGGAAAGAUCUAAAGAAGCACCUGUAGAUGACAUUGAUAUACAAAAUUUUAUAUAUGUUCAUUACUUAUAUCGUUGAUAGAUAUGCUAAUAGGCUUCCAUUAACAUUCAUAUAAAUGAUAAAAAUAAGAAAUUUAUUUGCAAUAACUUGUAAAUAGUUUAAUACACCCAUUAGAAUAUACAACCAUGUGGACCAAACUCAUCAUUUUAACCAAAUUCUUUAUUUUGAAGUUUGUGUAUUUAAGUUUUGAACUCUUUACUGGUUAACAGAUAUGGAUCAGGUAACAAAUGGAUAUUUAGAAACUACAAUCGAAUGGACUCAAGGUAUGAAGAAUAUACGUUUGAGAGACCUUCCUACUUUUCUUAGAACAACAAAUCUAGAUGAUAUUAUGUUGAAUUUUCUCCUUCAAGAAAUGAAAAGAUCUCGAGAAGCAUCUACAAUUAUAUUAAGCACAUUUGAUGCAAUCGAAGGAGAUGUCAAAGAUUCUCUUUCAUCUAUCCUUCAGUCUAUUUACACUAUUGGUCCACUUCACAUGCUUGGCAACAAAAUAGAUGAUGAAAAACUAACAGCAAUUGGCUCAAACCUAUGGGUUGAGGAAUCAGAAUGCAUCGAGUGGCUUAACUCUAAGCAGCCCAACUCAGUUGUUUAUCUUAAUUUUGGUAGCAUCACAGUGAUGACACCACAACAAAUGGUUGAGUUUGCAUGGGGAUUAGCUGAUAGUGGGAAGCCAUUUUUGUGGAUUACAAGGCCUGAUUUAAUUGUGGGAAAUUCAGCCAUUAUGCCUCAAGAAUUUGUUACACAAACUAAAGAUAGAAGCUUGAUAGCAAGUUGGUGUAGUCAAGAACAAGUGUUGAACCAUCCUUCAAUAGGAGGAUUUCUAACACAUAGUGGAUGGAAUUCAACUCUUGAGAGUAUAUGUGCUGGUGUUCCAAUGAUUUCAUGGCCUUCCUUUGCUGAACAACAAACAAAUUGUCGUUAUUGUUGCACUGAGUGGGAGAUUGGAAUGGAGAUUGACAACAAUGUAAAAAGAAAUGAGGUGGAGAAGUUAGUGAGAGAGUUGAUGGAUGGAGAAAAAGGUAAGAAAAUGAAGGAGAACGCAAUGUUUUUGAAGAGUAAAGCUGAAGAAGCAUAUAAACCAGGUGGUUCUGCUUACAAGCAAUUGGAUAAGCUGAUCAAUGAAGUACUUUUGUCAAACAUAAAGAAGGUUUAAACUUUGUAUCCAAAGUUAUCUGGUCCUUACACCUAUUAGAUCUGCUUUUCUUCUUUAAUAACCUAUGUAUUAUUAUAUUGAAUAAUGUUGCAUGGUUUUUUUUUCAAUAAAUUCUCCUAUUUAAUAUUUUGAAGAGUAUCCCAUUUAAUUAAGUAGGAAAAUGUACUGUAUAAAGAUUAUGGUAUAUGUUAGAAUGGUAAUCUGCGUAUUUGUAGUAGCAGAGAGAAGCGUAUUGUAUAACUCUCUAAUUCUAAAGGUAUUGUUAUUGAACCAUCUACACCUUAUAUGCAUUUUUCUACUUUUGUCUUGAUUAUUUGUGGAUUCGUAGCAGUGUCUUUCCAUUUUAUAUAAAUAUAUGUGCAUGAGAUCCCUCAACAUUCUCGUUAUUAUGUUAUUAUGUUAUGAUUGUUGUUGGCAUAAAUUUGAAAAUGAGUAGCGUGACACAAAUCCAAAUAGUAGUAAAAGGUUCUCAUGAAAAAAGAACUAUUAACUACUUGACCUAGAAAGAUGUUUGGGGAUAAUUUUAUUAUUAGAGUAGAAAGAAAGAGUAGAAAGAAAGUGGAAUCCGAGAUUUAUGUUGAGAGUAAGUAUUAAAGAUUAUUGCCAUGUUUGAUCAGCAAGUAUUAAAGAAUUAAGUGAAAUUCAAUUAGUACUACUAGGUUGUUGUUCGAUCGAUAGUCGUAUUUUGUUAAAGAUAACUGUUAUAGUCUCCUUGCAAUCAAUGUAAAAUGAAUAGUUGUCUUUAGAACCAUGCUUAUCAAAAGUGUGUCUUGACGACUUGUUGAUCUUGAGGUUUUUAUGAGUUUAUGGUUAUUUCAACAUAUAGACUUUGGUUAUUUAAUAUCGUAUUACUUUUGAAAAUUGUUGUGUGAUCUAUGCUUGUUAGUUUGUUUGCAAUAAUUAUUUGUAUUCAACUUAGUUGUAAUCAAUUUUGCAGUCUUUUUAUUACAAAUUUUGACCAAAGAAAAAUACAUUUGACAUUCACGUGACAACAUCAAUAAGUUUGUAAUUUAAGAAAGAGGUGAGAAUUGCAAAAAAAAAGAGAAAAUAUUAGAGUAGAGCGUCUAAUUUCUUUAGUAUUAUUUAGUAAGAGACCUAAAUAAUAUUGAAGAAGUUAACCUCUUUUAAAUACCUCAUAAGAAAGCAUUUCUCGCGUGUUAUUACAUAUAUAUUUUACAAUAUACAUCUAAUUGUUGUCUUACGUUAUAUUAAACAUGGUCUAUUAUAGUCUAAUUCAACUAUAACAUCAAAGUUUCAUUAACUAAUUAUAAUAAAUUUCAUUCAUUUCUAUCUCCAUAAAUUUUCAUAAAAUCGAAUUCAUGAGGAAUGUAAUUUGAUAUUUUGAACCUUGCAACCCACCUAAUUUUAGCUAGUUAUAUAUAUAUAUAUAUAUAUUAGUCCAAUCAAUAAAUUACUAGUACUAGUUUCUUAUUCUAAUUCACUCAAUUAAAAUUAGAAUUGGUGAAAAGUAUUAAUUUGUAGAAUUUGAAUUGAUAUUUAAUCUGAAGGGGGCGGAUAUGGUACAAAUGAUUAAUUGUUAUACUGUUGUUUUUAUUUGGCAAUGCAUUAUUGGUUCAAUCCUUUAAUAUAACAUAACGAUAAGUAGGCACUCACGGUGGUCUUUUGUUCUAUUCCCAAGAUUCAUAUAUUAAUAAAUAAUUAAGAGACAUAUGAUCUGCAUAAUCAAUCAAUAAUCCAAAAGCAAAAAAGAUAUUUAUAAGUUCAAACUACUUCUUGCUUUUGUAGCCUGUAAGAAUAUUAGAAUUAUUUCUCCAAAAACUGAGCAAUUCCCCAUUUCAAGAAGAAAAGAAAAGAAGAUCAAGAAAUUCAAAGAUGGGAUCUGUCUCACACACUGAAAAACCACAUGCUGUAUGUAUCCCAUAUCCAGCCCAAGGCCAUAUCACCCCUAUGCUAAUGCUUGCUAAGCUUCUCCAUCACAAAGGUUUCUACAUAACUUUCGUCAACACCGACUACAAUAAUCGUCGUCUUCUCCAAUCCAGAGGCCCCAACUCGCUCGAUGGCUUGCAAGAUUUUAAGUUCCGAACCAUUCCCGACGGCCUUCCUUACUCAGAUGCCAACUGUACUCAAGAUAUUCCAGCACUCUGUGAAUCCACCUCCAAGAAUUGCUUAGCCCCUUUUUGUGAGCUUAUUUCACAACUCAACUCAAUGGCAGCUUCUCCUUCUAGUAAUAUGCCACCAGUUAGUUGUAUUGUUAGUGAUGCUAUUAUGUUUUUCUCUGUGAUGGCUGCCAAUGAGUUUAAAAUCCCUUAUGCUUUUAUUUGGACUGCUAGUGCUUGUGGCUACCUUGGUUACUUCCAAUAUGAGCAUCUCAUUAAAAAAGGCUUGAUUCCACUUAAAGGUAUGGUUCCAUUUUAAUGUGUGUUUUCUUUUCUUUUUUUCAUUUUUUUUCGAUCUUCCUUAAAAAUGAAUUUUUGUGUGGUAGAAUUUAAAAUUAAAAAUAAAAUUUAAAUUUUAGGGAGACUUUUUCAAAAAUGGUAUAAUCAACUAAAAUAUUUACAAAAUAUAUCAAAAUUUCAAAUCUUAUCCAUAGUAGAUAUAGAUAGAUUUCGCUCUUACUUGCUAUAUUUGAUAUAAUAACUUUUCUUAAUUUUAUUUUUAAUAAAUUCUUUUUUUUUAAAAAAAAAUGAUAGAACAUGUAAAAAAAAUUAACCUAAGAAUGACAUAUAUACUUAUUAGGAUAAAAAUUUGAAAAUUUAGAAACAAGUCAGAUACUUAUAUGUUUCAAGAGAAUACUUAUAUGUUUCAAGAGAAUUUUUUGUGGGAUAGACUUGUAUCAGUUUAAUUCUAUCACGUGAUAUAGUUAGUGUUGAUGAUGAGCUUCUCUCUGUCAAUUUCAAUCACAGAUAGAUAUUGAUAAACUUCUAUCAGCCUUUAUCAAUGAUAAGCUUCUAGUAUUGAUAGAUGACACUGAUAGAUUUCUACCUGUGUUUAGCCUGGAUUUUCUAAAUUUUUUAUUAGCGUCUAUCAGAAUGAUAAGAAAUUUAGAAUUUUUUGCAAUAACUAGUAAGUAGUUUAACCUAUCUUCCAAUUAAAAAAAGAACUUGGACAUCCACUAGAAUACACAAUCAUGUGGACCAAACUCAUCAUUUUAACCAAAUUCUUUAUUUUGAUGUUUGAGUAUUUAGUUUUGAUCUCUUCCCUGGUUAAUAGAUAU